UGGGGAAUAUUGGACAAUGGGCGCAAGCCUGAUCCAGCCAUGCCGCGUGUGUGAAGAAGGCCUUUUGGUUGUAAAGCACUUUAAGCGAGGAGGAGGCUACUUGGAUUAAUACUCUAAGAUAGUGGACGUUACUCGCAGAAUAAGCACCGGCUAACUCUGUGCCAGCAGCCGCGGUAAUACAGAGGGUGCGAGCGUUAAUCGGAUUUACUGGGCGUAAAGCGUGCGUAGGCGGCUUCUUAAGUCGGAUGUGAAAUCCCUGAGCUUAACUUAGGAAUUGCAUUCGAUACUGGGAAGCUAGAGUAUGGGAGAGGAUGGUAGAAUGCCAGGUGUAGCGGUGAAAUGCGUGGAGAUCUGGAGGAAUACCGAUGGCGAAGGCAGCCAUCUGGCCUAAUACUGACGCUGAGGUACGAAAGCAUGGGGAGCAAACAGG
rnacentral:rRNA from 1 species